CAAAGCCCAAAGGAAGUUUUACAGAAUCCAGUCAGAUGGAAGCAAGACGCCAGAGCCGGAUUUCUGUACAUCCAUUUGCACAGUACUGUACAACAAGUUUCCUUUGCUGAGUUCCUUGGUCAGGGGUUUAAACACAUUUUCUGUCCAGUACUGCAGUUGGAAUUUUCCAUCAACUUUUUAUGGUGGCGCUGCGGGUAGCGCUCUCACCUCACAGCAAGAAGGUCGCUAGUUUGAUUCUCGACUGGAUCAGUUGGCAUUUCUGUGUGGAGUCUGCAUGUUCUCCCCGCAUUCGCAUGGGUUUCCUCCGGGUGCUCCGGUUUCCCCCACAAGUCCAAAGACAUGCGCUAUAGGGCAAUUGGACAACCGAUGUCCAUCUCAAAAGAGCGUCUAUUCUUCAAGCUCUCUUUACUUACCUUGGUGAGGAUGAGGCAUGCCUGGUGAAAGAAUACAUGGGCAACCAAAAGAAGAAUUUUUGAAGGACCUGACAAACACCGCCAUGGCCAUAUGUGUCAUCAAAAGGAAAGAGGAGAUUAUGAGGACAUUGGCAUCGUUGUGAAUGGAAAAGUGAUUCUUGAACAGAUAAAAUCUGUUGCACAAGCCUGUGCACGGAUGUUGGGGGCAAUUUAUGUGCUUGAUUUGGCCUACCCAAAAGAACUCAAAUACUAUUACGAGUUUGCCCAAAAAGUACUUGUGCAAAUGAACUGACCAGCUCUCCUUAAAGGUUCUCAUACUGGAAAACAGUGCGAAGCUGUAAUUUUAAGCAUUGAAGUGUUGAUAAAUGCUCAACAACCAUAUGUAUAUCAUAUACAAAUUGCAGUUUAGAGUAGGAAUUGUUUAAUAAGUGAAUUAAGUUUUCUUUGUCUGCAAAAUUAAUUUGCUGUAGGAACUUGUUUUAAAUGGUGUGUGUGUGUGUGUGUGUGUGUGUGUGUGUGUG